rnacentral:rRNA from 1 species
AGUGAACGCUGGCGGUAGGCCUAACACAUGCAAGUCGAACGGCAGCACAGUAAGAGCUUGCUCUUACGGGUGGCGAGUGGCGGACGGGUGAGGAAUACAUCGGAAUCUACUUUUUCAUGGGGGAUAACGUAGGGAAACUUACGCUAAUACCGCAUACGACCUACGGGUGAAAGCAGGGGAUCUUCGGACCUUGCGCGAUUGAAUGAGCCGAUGUCGGAUUAGCUAGUUGGCGGGGUAAAGGCCCACCGAGGCGACGAUCCGUAGCUGGUCUGAGAGGAUGAUCAGCCACACUGGAACUGAGACACGGCCCAGACUCCUACGGGAGGCAGCAGUGGGGAAUAUUGGACAAUGGGCGCAAGCCUGAUCCAGCCAUACCGCGUGGGUGAAGAAGGCCUUCGGGUUGUAAAGCCCUUUUGUUGGGAAAGAAAAGCAGCAGGUUAAUACCCCGCUGUUCUGACGGUACCCAAAGAAUAAGCACCGGCUAACUUCGUG